rnacentral:rRNA from 1 species
AUUGAACGCUGGCGGCAGGCCUAACACAUGCAAGUCGAACGAGUGGCGGACGGGUGAGUAAUGUCUGGGAAACUGCCCGAUGGAGGGGGAUAACUACUGGAAAAGGUAGCUAAUACCGCAUACCAGCGGAUGUGCCCAGGUGGUAUUAGCUAGUGGGUGGGGUAACGGCUCACCUAGGCGACGAUCCCUAGCGGGUCUGAGAGGAUGACCGGCCACACGGGAACUGAGACACGAUCCAGACUCCUACGGGAGGCAGCAGUGGGGAAUAUUGCACAAUGGGCGCAAGCCUGAUGCAGCCAUGCCGCGUGUAUGAAGAAGGUCUUCGGGUUGUAAAGUUCUUUCAGCAGGGAGGCGUUACUCGCAGAAGAAGCACCGGCUAACUCCGUGCCAGCAGCCGCGGUAAUAC